UCUCACGGACGAGCAAAGAAAAUGGUUUCUUGAGAUGGAAUCUACGCCAGGUGAAGAUACUGUGAA
rnacentral:pre_miRNA from 1 species